rnacentral:tRNA from 1 species
UUAACUCAGUUGGUUAGAGCGUUGGUACUAAUAAUGCCAAGGUCACAGGUUCGACCCCUGUA